CCUACGGGAGGCAGCAGUGGGGAAUAUUGGACAAUGGGGGGAACCCUGAUCCAGCGACGCCGCGUGAGUGAAGAAGUAUUUCGGUAUGUAAAGCUCUAUCAGCAGGGCAGAAAGAAAUGACGGUACCUGACCAAGAAGCCCCGGCUAACUACGUGCCAGCAGCCGCGGUAAUACGUAGGGGGCAAGCGUUAUCCGGAUUUACUGGGUGUAAAGGGAGCGUAGACGGCGAUGCAAGUCUGAAGUGAAAGGCGGGGGCCCAACCCCUGGACUGCUUUGGAAACUGUAUGGCUGGAGUGCAGGAGAGGUAAGUGGAAUUCCUAGUGUAGCGGUGAAAUGCGUAGAUAUUAGGAGGAACACCAGGGGCGAAGGCGGCUUACUGGACUGUAACUGACGUUGAGGCUCGAAAGCGUGGGGAGCAAACAGGAUUAGAUACCCUAGUAGUC
rnacentral:rRNA from 1 species